AUGAACGCUGGCGGCGUGCCUAAUACAUGCAAGUCGAGCGAACGGACGAGAAGCUUGCUUUUCUGAUGUUAGCGGCGGACGGGUGAGUAACCCGUGGAUAACCUACCUAUAAGACUGGGAUAACUUCGGGAAACCGGAGCUAAUACCGGAUAAUAUUUUGAACCGCAUGGUUCCAAAGUGAAAGACGGUCUUGCUGUCACUUAUAGAUGGAUCCGCGCUGCAUUAGCUAGUUGGUAAGGUAACGGCUUACCAAGGCAACGAUGCAUAGCCGACCUGAGAGGGUGAUCGGCCACACUGGAACUGAGACACGGUCCAGACUCCUACGGGAGGCAGCAGUAGGGAAUCUUCCGCAAUGGGCGAAAGCCUGACGGAGCAACGCCGCGUGAGUGAUGAAGGUCUUCGGAUCGUAAAACUCUGUUAUUAGUGAAGAACAUAUGUGUAAGUAACUGUGCACAUCUUGACGGUACCUAAUCAGAAAGCCACGGCUAACUACGUG
rnacentral:rRNA from 1 species